AAUAUUGCGCAAUGGACGGAAGUCUGACGCAGCGACGCCGCGUGAGCGAUGAAGGUCUUCGGAUCGUAAAGCUCUGUCCUUGGGGAAGAAGGGCUUCGGCCUUGACGGUACCCAAGAAGAAAGCCCCGGCUAACUACGUGCCAGCAGCCGCGGUAAUACGUAGGGGGCGAGCGUUGUCCGGAAUUACUGGGCGUAAAGGGUGCGUAGGCGGCCCUUUAAGUCAGAUGUGAAAGGCCACGGCUUAACCGUGGAACUGCAUUUGAAACUGGAGGGCUUGAGUGUCGGAGAGGGUAGUGGAAUUCCCAGUGUAGCGGUGAAAUGCGUAGAUAUUGGGAAGAACACCAGUAGCGAAGGCGGCUACCUGGUCCGACACUGACGCUGAGGCGCGAAAGCGUGGGGAGCAAAC
rnacentral:rRNA from 1 species